rnacentral:rRNA from 2 species
GCGCGAAAACUUCACACUGCAGGAAACUGUGAUGAGGGAACUCCUAGUGCAUGCACUAUGUGUAUGUAGAUCCUACUCUUAACAAGUAGAGGGAAAGGGCUGGGAAAGACCGGUGCCAGCCGCCGCGGUAAUACCGGCAGCUCAAGUGGUCGUCGCUUUUAUUGGGCCUAAAACGUCCGUAGCCUGUUUGGUAAAUCUGUGGGUAAAUCAAUCCUCUCAACGGAUUGAAUUCUGCAGAGACUGCCAGACUAGGGACCGGGAGGGGUAUGAGGUACUCGUGGGGGUAGGGUAAAAUCCUGUCAUCCUCAGAGGACCACCUGUUGCGAAGGCGUCAUACUGGAACGGAUCCGACGGUCAGGGACGAAGCC